GUGCCAGCAGCCGCGGUAAUACGAAGGGUGCAAGCGUUACUCGGAAUUACUGGGCGUAAAGCGUGCGUAGGUGGUUGUUUAAGUCUGAUGUGAAAGCCCUGGGCUCAACCUGGGAAUGGCAUUGGAAACUGGGCAGCUAGAGUGCGGUAGAGGGUAGUGGAAUUCCCGGUGUAGCAGUGAAAUGCGUAGAGAUCGGGAGGAACAUCUGUGGCGAAGGCGACUGCCUGGACCAGCACUGACACUGAGGCACGAAAGCGUGGGGAGCAAACAGGAUUAGAUACCCUGGUAGUCCACGCCCUAAACGAUGCGAACUGGAUGUUGGGUUCAACUUGGAACUCAGUAUCGAAGCUAACGCGUUAAGUUCGCCGCCUGGGGAGUACGGCCGCAAGGCUGAAACUUAAAUAAAUUGACGG
rnacentral:rRNA from 1 species